UGGGGAAUAUUGCACAAUGGGCGAAAGCCUGAUGCAGCGACGCCGCGUGAGUGAAGAAGUAUUUCGGUAUGUAAAGCUCUAUCAGCAGGGAAGAAAAUGACGGUACCUGACUAAGAAGCACCGGCUAAAUACGUGCC
rnacentral:rRNA from 1 species